rnacentral:rRNA from 1 species
CAGCGUCCACAAGUGGGAGUCGUCAUUAUUGGGCCUAAAGCGUCCGUAGCAGGUCAUGUAAAUCUCUUGUGAAAUUGUUACGCUCAACGUAACAGCGCGCAAGAGACACUGCAAGACUUGGGACCGGGAGGAGUGAGAGGUAUUUCUUGGGGAGCGGUAAAAUGCUAUAAUCCAAGAAGGACCACCUAUGGCGAAGGCAUCUCACCAGAACGGAUCCGACUGUGAGGGACGAAAGCUAGGGGAGCGAACCGGAUUAGAUACCCGAGUAGUCC